AAAUUGAAGAGUUUGAUCAUGGCUCAGAUUGAACGCUGGCGGCAGGCCUAACACAUGCAAGUCGAACGGUAACAGGAAACAGCUUGCUGUUUCGCUGACGAGUGGCGGACGGGUGAGUAAUGUCUGGGAAACUGCCUGAUGGAGGGGGAUAACUACUGGAAACGGUAGCUAAUACCGCAUAACGUCGCAAGACCAAAGAGGGGGACCUUCGGGCCUCUUGCCAUCGGAUGUGCCCAGAUGGGAUUAGCUAGUAGGUGGGGUAACGGCUCACCUAGGCGACGAUCCCUAGCUGGUCUGAGAGGAUGACCAGCCACACUGGAACUGAGACACGGUCCAGACUCCUACGGGAGGCAGCAGUGGGGA
rnacentral:rRNA from 2 species